UCAGGGGCGGCGCUUCUAACAAGCUCCUCCUCAAUUGGUUGAGCGGAGAGCGGGAGGUGAAGCUGCGCCGGGUCCUGGCUGUCGCCCUCAGUCCGUCACCGAGAGGAGUCCGCAUUGCUCGCCCGCCGGCCAGUCAGUCCGCACCGUGAGCCGCGCCCCGUGCAUGUCGCUCUCCUGCUCCCCCGGAUAACGUGUCACGUGCACAGCUAAGACUUUGGAGUUUGCUGAACCCUUUUAAUUUCAAAACCCUUCUCAUUUGAGGAUCAUCCAUAGUGUUUAGUUGUGCAAUGGACCAGGAAUUUCUAAAGCUUCAUGCAUUUCCCAGUACAGAAUGUAUUUUUCGUUGGCCUAGAAAUGGACAGAACCAAAAUUGUAUGGCAUUGUUUUCUUUACAACAUUGUGAAGUCGUACAUAUACAAAGGAAACAUUGUAACGAUACACAAGAGGUGAUACAAUGUUUACUAGAGGAAUCAAGAGGAAAAGUUUUUCUGAAGAAGACACAGAAGAACCGUUGGCUGACUUUAAAACUAUUCCUUCCUACACUUUGGAACGCCAGUCAAUGCUGAACAUGUCGCUGGUGAAACUGCAACUCUGCCACAUGCUUGCAGAACCUAAUCUUUGUCGUUCAGUGCUUAUUGCCAACACUGUAAGGCAGAUACAACAUGAGAUGACUCAAGAUGGCAGCUGGCAAAUUUUGGCAGAACAAAGUGUUGAAGCACCCAUGGAUCGUUUGGUUUCUACAGAUAUUCUUUGUCGUUCCUCCAAGGAUCAGGAGGAAGAAAAGAAUAACAAUGAAACUUAUAUUACUUACAGCGAUGACUUGGACGUUCAACAGAUAGAGGUUUCAGACCUGUCACCAUAUACAUCCUUAAAAGUGCAAAAUUCUCAGGCUCCUACCUGGGAAGCGGACAACCAGCAAGAAAAUAGGGUACAACUUCAAAAAUCACUAGACCAUAUAUUUGAAACGUUGGAGAACAGAAAUGCAAACACAGUAGAGGAUUUGUUUUCUGAUGUUGAUACUUCCUAUUAUGAUCUAGAUACUGUACUUACUGGUAUGAUGGGAAAUUCAAAAUUAGGUCAUUCUGAUAUGAUUGAAAGCUUUUCAUCCCAGACGCCAAAACCCACCGGCUGCAAAACUGAGCUCAGUGAGAUUGAUCAUAUUGUUGAGAUUCUAGUGGAGUCUUGAAACUGAAUACAUAGUUCCGAUAUUAAUAUAUACAUAACCAAUGACAACAGUAGCAGGAAAAAAAAAAACUUUGCUAAUGUCUAUGCAAAAUAUGGGUCGUACAUAACUUGCAUAUUUUGGGGGAUUACUCCUUUCUGGUCAAUACGAUUUGAAGCCAUAGUUGUGUUUUUGUUUUUUUUCUUCUAUAUUUUUAAAAACAUACCUCAUGGAUUGGUAUGUGAAAUCUCUGUGACAGUGUGGUUUAUUUAGAAUGGAGCAAGACACUUCUAACACUUCUUUAAAAAACAUAUUUUUAACUUAUUUUUAAGGGGGGUGGAAGUAAACUGAGCCUUUUUAUGGGUACUUCACACAUUUUUAAAAAAUAUCUGUACAUUGUUCUAGCAAAUGAAAACUAAGUUUACUGAUGCAAGACUAGGCCUUUUGAGGAAACCUCUGCAAAUACUGCACAGUUCAGUUAAGAGGAGAAACCCCAGAGCUGAUGAGAAUUUGCAGUAAUUUCAUAACUGCAUUUAAUUAAGGUGAAGCUCCUGCUCAUCUGCCCAGAACUCGGUCUUUUCAUUUCAUUAUGGGGGAAGUUACUGUGCCCACCUGUAGCAACAUCUAGGUCACUUAAAGGGUGUUGUAGAAUCACACACUGGUGUUUGGUUUUCCCACUCCUUUCUUCUUUAUCCCCAAUAGUGGUAAUUAUUCAUAUUUUUAUUUUUUUUCUCUGUGCCCAUUUCACUAUUAACUGUGUUGCUAGUUAAGGUUUUCCAUGGCUCAUAUUUGUGAUGCUUUCUCUUAUAACCAGGAAUUAAUUUUGGUUUAGACCGGUCUUGGUAUUAAAAUUAACAAAUGCAGGACUCUGAAGAAGUAUGAGAGUUCUGACAUAUUGGUUCUGAAUGGCUUACAUGUGUAAACUAUGUAUCCUCCAUCCCAUCCAACCAGCCCCAUGGAAACCUAUAGUAUUGGUAAUUGCCUUCAGCUAUCAGCAAUAUCUCCAUAUAAAAGAAAAGGCACAUUAGUGUGACCUGGUAACAGUCAUAGAUCUGCCUUCUAUUCACAAUACAUACAAAUUUUCUGUCUUGAGGUUUAGUGUUGUAUCCAACUAAAUUAGACUUUUUGUAGGUCUUAAAGCAACUGAGAAUGUGGCGUGAUGAACCUUUUACUAGCAGCAUGGACUAGAAUAUGUAUUGUCUGUUUUAAAUAAAUAUCCUCCUUGCAGACUAAUCUAUAAUUCUGUCUCAACCUUUUUCAAGUAGAGAAAUAGGAUUCCCAGACACCCUUUCAAGAACAGAUGGUUAAGCGCCUUUUAUACUUGCAACAAUGGAUUUUUGAAGAUACUGCUCAGUAUGGUAAUACAAAAAGAUUUUACAGUAAUAAAACAACCAAUGGAAAAAAAAAAGCAGACUUUGUUAGAAUGAGCCCCCUGCAUUGACGGAUACAUUUGCGUAAUGGGGAGGGGUAGGAUUACUUUUUAUUCCCCUUUUUUAUCUGAAACUUGGUCAGCUGGAUGCCUUGAUGUCUUCCAUUGCACUGGAAAGAAACCAUGGACUUUCUUUUUCUUUGCCUCAGCCUGCGGCCUUAUGUAUGAUUUAUGUUGCUUUACAUAUUCUAGUAGUAGCAUGUAUACUUGGUAGCCACUUCAAUAGUCUUAACAUUUAUUAUUCUUUGUAUGCAAAAACUAGUAAACUGUAAAUUUUAUUAUUUU